GGCAACUACAGGCCUCUGCUGUUUUUAGAGUUUUAGCACAAAUUCAGGGGUGAAAGGCUGUGUUUAGCACAAGGGGCUAGCACUUUUAUUGUUCAAGUUACCUGUUUUUAUUGCUAUGUGUUUCAUUGUUUGCUGGAUGGGCUUUGUGUGUUAUAAGAGGGCAACUACAGGCCUCUGCUGUUUUUAGAGUUUUAGUCUGAAUUCUGAGGUAAGGCUUUGAAUAGCAGUUUCAGUCAUUGUGGCCUGCUUGCAGAAGUAUAUAUCUUCCAUUGCUGUUAUUACAAUAUAUUUUAUUUAUUUGUUUCAGCGCCAACAACUGCUGAACUACAAGACCUAGAUUUUACACUAACGGAUAUUGAUCUUACCGACAAAGGGUUAAUUGACGAGCGUUACGGUUGUCCGAACCAGCCAAAUCAGAAUGACUUCCACAAAGAGCUAGCGGUGAUACAGCCUGGAUCGAGCAGAACGCAAACGUCCCGCGCUGAAAGAUUGUGUCCGAAGCCAUUCAACCCAAGUGUGUUCCACGGAGAGCUAGCGGUGA